UUUCUGGUUGAUCCCGCCAGAGGUUACUGCUAUCGGUGUUCGCCUAAGCCAUGCGAGUCAUAUGUUCUUCGUGAACAUGGCGUACUGCUCAGUAACACGUGGAUAACCUGCCCUUGGGUCUGGGAUAACCCCGGGAAACUGGGGAUAAUACCGGAUAACGCAUAUAUGCUGGAAUGCUUUAUGCGUAAAAUGGAUUCGUCUGCCCAAGGAUGGGUCUGCGGCCUAUCAGGUAGUAGUGGGUGUAAUGUACCUACUAGCCUACAACGGGUACGGGUUGUGAGAGCAAGAGCCCGGAGAUGGAUUCUGAGACAUGAAUCCAGGCCCUACGGGGCGCAGCAGGCGCGAAAACUUUACAAUGCGGGGAACCGUGAUAAGGGGACACCGAGUGCCAGCAUCAUAUGCUGGCUGUCCAGAUGUGUAAAAUACAUCUGUUAGCAAGGGCCGGGCAAGACCGGUGCCAGCCGCCGCGGUAACACCGGCGGCCCGAGUGGUGAUCGUGAUUAUUGGGUCUAAAGGGUCCGUAGCCGGUUUGGUCAGUCCUCCGGGAAAUCUGAUGGCUCAACCAUUAGGCUCUCGGGGGAUACUGCCAGGCUUGGAACCGGGAGAGGUAAGAGGUACUACAGGGGUAGGAGUGAAAUCUUGUAAUCCCUGUGAGACCACCUGUGGCGAAGGCGUCUUACCAGAACGGGUUCGACGGUGAGGGACGAAAGCUGGGGGCACGAACCGGAUUAGAUACCCGGGUAGUCCCAGCCGUAAACGAUGCUCGCUAGGUGUCAGGCAUGGCGCGACCGUGUCUGGUGCCGCAGGGAAGCCGUGAGGCGAGCCACCUGGGAAGUACGGCCGCAAGGCUGAAACUUAAAGGAAUUGGCGGGAA
rnacentral:rRNA from 1 species